CUUGGCGUUGACUGAAUCCCUCGUCUCCUUCCUCAUCCCUGAUCGCAGGUGCGUCCGUUCUCGGCAGCCGUUUCCGUCGGCUAUGCAUGCCACCGGCUGCCAUCGACGUGUACCUUCGGCCGCCUCCCGCACCGGAUCUGCAGGUGUGCCGCUAGAUCCCCGCCACCCGCGCUGCCCCACGAGCUCCUGCUCCACGAGGCGCCAACAUUCUGGAGGAACACGCCGUGAGGGCCAAGGCGGUCGCCGAGGACGGGGGCGGUGGCGCCCAGCCGGCCUCCUCGUCUGGCGCCAUGUUUGACGGGAUCCUUGGGGCUCACCUCGAGCUGGUGUGCUUUUACAGGUGUUGUCCUGGGUUCUCAUGCUUCUCCACAUUCUUAUUUCUUCAGGAAUUGAAGUGUGUGGUAGUUUUAGCUGGAUAAUCCUCUGAGUGGCGUGCAGGCUCAAUGGGAAGAUCCAACAAGUCCGUUCAGGUAGGACAUGAGAAGAUGUUCAGGCCUGAGAAGUUGGAGAGGCUUGGGUGAAAGUUUAGGACGAUGGAGGAGACGCGUCGAGUCCUAUAUGUGUGCAGGCAUACCGAGCUGAGCUUGGCCAUGCUGUCGGAUUGGGCAGAAAAAUAGGCGAGACUGCAUCAUUUUUGCUGUCAAGGACGCGAAAAUAACUUCAUAGUCAAUCCUACUUUCGAUUGGACCAGUUGACGUUGUGUUUUGUAGGUGCAUCUGUAAAAAUGAAAGUAACAUGAUAAUUUUUGUGUGUAAAUAAUAUGAUUUUUUAAGCAUCGUAUGCUUACG